CUCACAACGCGCUGGCUUGAUCUUUUUUCUAACUCCUCCCUUCUUUUGUGUGGGGUUGGAAAAAAAAAAAAGAAAGAAAGAAAGAAACACACACACACACAGAGCCCACAGUCAAAACACCAACAAGCCCAAAGCCCCGCGGAGCUCGCAGGAGGUGAGGCGGCGGCUGCGCCACCUGCUCGGCUUCCCCAAACUCCAAACGCGCGCAGGGAAGUGGCAGCUCGGUGGCCCCGGGCACCCCGGCCGGUGGCACGCGGCUCUCCCGCCGCUCCGCUCGGCCGCCGGCGCGGGGUUGCUGGCACUCGCGGCACUGCGGGGAGCCGCCUUUACCCCAGGGCGGGCGGCCAGGAGGCCCGGCUGUGCCCAGCCAUCCCGGCGCCGCGGCCAGCUGGCGGCCAGGCGCGGGGCCCCGCGGCCAGGUGGCCGCUUCGGGGACGCGCUGCAGGCGCCUGGCGCGCCCGGGGCGACGGGGCGACGGGGCGCCGCGCCGUUGGAGCAGGCGGGGGUGGCAGCGGAGACCACGGCCCGGGGCGAGGGCAGGCGGGGCGCGCACCCUCCACGCCGCGCCCACUGCCCCGCGGGCAGCUCACACCCGGGCGCGCCGCGUCCCCCGUGACCCCGGCCCGGGCCGCGGCCCCGGUCCUGGAGCCAACUCCCAGCAGCACGGCCGCCGGGCCCGGGCCGGCCCGCGGGGCUCGGAGCGCGGCGACAGCGGGCACCCCGCGUCCACUCCGCGCCCAACUCCGCUCGCCUCGCGGCACGCUCGGCCGCUCGGCCCUGCAGGGGCCGCCCCGCGCGUUACCUGCAAGGAGCCCGAGCGGCGGCCGCAUCUCCCUCCCGGGCGCGGAAACUCCGGCCGCUCUCGGCGCCCGCCCGCAGCCGGGCAGGGGAGGGGCCGCCCGCGCCGCGCCCCCGCCCCCGCCCCCCGCCGCGCCCCCCCCCCCCCCGCGCCGCGCGCCGCCCGCCGCCCGCACCGCCCGCGGCUCCCCACGCGCGCGGGCGCUCACUCUCACACUCCCGCCUCGGCCCGCCCUCUCCCCGCGCCCAUUGGCUGCGCCGGCCGUCACUCUCACGCCGCAGCCCGCUCCUCUGCAGCUCAUUGGCGGCCGCGCCGGGGAUGUCGGACCGCCGGGCGCUAGGCGGCGGCGAGAGAGGCGCAGGGCCAGGCGGCGGCGGCGGCGGCGGCGGGAGCGCAGGAAGCGGAGCUCCCGGCGCGGAGGCCCGGCGAGGCCCGGCGGGAAGAGGCGGCCCCUGCUGGCCCCGGGGGCGGGCUCAGGCCGCGGAGGCCCGCCCCGCCCCGCCCCGCCCCCCCCCGUGCGCGCGGACCUGCCCGCGCUCGGCCUGCGCCCCUGCGCCGUGGGUGGCGCUCCGCGGGGGACCGCCGCGGCCCUGCAGGGAAACGAGCUGGGAGAGGACCGUCGGGACCCUUCCUGCCGGGGAGGAGUUGGUGUAAAUCGAUCAUCUACCAGCAAUGGAAGAGAACCACAAUAG
rnacentral:lncRNA from 1 species